AAGGAUGUUAAAUCUGCUAAAAUGACUGCUUGCAUAACACCUGCCCUUCUGGAAGCUAGUAAGAUAAACAGCAUUGCUUGUGGACUAAUGAAAAUAUGGUUGGGGUGAUAAACAGAGCUAUAGGUAGAUCUAUUAGGAAGAAAACGUAAUUGGAUUCCUGGGUAUCUUAAUGGUUGGGGCACUUCCCUUUCUGCCCCACAGCAAAAAGGCCCCAAUCCAGUGGAGCACUUAGCCGUGAGCAGUGCCUCAGAGAUCAAUGGGGCUACUUAUGGUGUGUAAAACCAGGCACGUGGUUAAGUGCUUUAUUGGGUCAGAGCCAGACCGAAUAACACAUACAUAAUGCUGCAUUCAGAUUCACUAUAUUCAAUUCUCAGAUCUGUAUUGAUCUGAAUUUUGAAGCCUUCACUGAAUUAACUUUAAAGUAAAUUUUCUUUUUUUUAUAAACACAAAAUGAAUUUGAUGUAGUUGUCCCUUUCACUCGGAGAUCUGAAAAUACUUUAAAAAAUAUGAAUGUAUUGAUCUUUCACUAUGGGGAGAGUGAGUAGUAGCAACCCAUAAAACAGAUGAGGAAUCUGAAAGUAGAAGAGUGAAGAAAAAAAAAAUCCACAACAACUGAAUGGAAUUGGAAAACAAAUUUGUCUUGAUUGUAUUCCCAUCUGCUUUGGGUUUGGUUUCAUUAGCUUUCUUGAAAGGGAGCUUCUGUCAGGAAAGUAUAUGAAAGCAUUUUUUUUUUUAGUAGAUAUUCAAGAGGAGUUGCACAAGUGUUU